CACGUAGGGCGCAAGCGUUGUCCGGAAUUGUUGGGCGUAAAGAGCUCGUAGGCGGUCUGUUGCGUCUGCUGUGAAAACCCGGGGCUUAACCCCUGGCUUGCAGUGGAUACGGACAGACUAGAGGUAGGUAGGGGAGAAUGGAAUUCCCGGUGUAGCGGUGAAAUGCGCAGAUAUCGGGAGGAACACCGGUGGCGAAGGCGGUUCUCUGGGCCUUACCUGACGCUGAGGAGCGAAAGCGUGGGGAGCGAACAGG
rnacentral:rRNA from 1 species